UGUGUUCAAUAUCUUGUAAUAAAUUAUAAUGGAGAAGAAAAAAUACAGAGGAAGUCACGACCUCUAUUUGAUAGAUCAAUGACUUUAAAAACCCUACAGGACUUCUGAACCUUUUGGUCAUGUACUGUUUUCUUCCUGUAUGGUGGGCAUCCAGAGCAAGAGUAGGAAAGAGGGGAGCCCUGGUUACCAGCCCCGGCUCCACUGCCAGCCUGAGAGGAGAAAGAGCCUGAGGAUGGAGGUAUGUUUUUAAAAAGGGAGAAAUGAGAGGACUGAGAGACUGAUGCCUGCAAGAAGGAGGGAGAGGGUAAGAAGUGAGGUGGGACACAGGAAGGAAGGAAGGAGAGGAGCCAGUUCAGGACCAGAAAAGCCGCCCACUGGCUUAGCCAUCUGCCUUUGCACACGAGAGCAGUGGGUAACCUCCGGGCUUCGCAGUUCUACAGACCCAGAGUCAAGUUCUGCCUUUACUGCUCCCCGACUGUGUCCCUUCGGACAACUACCUUAAUCCUUGGUUUCUCACUGAUGAAGUAGCCUAGCUGCAGUAAGAGCAAGGACAAAAGUACUAGAAUAUGCCUCCUAAUUUCUUGUGAGAAAUAAAAUAACAUGCCUGCUACAGGACUUGACAUUCAAUAAAUAGCAGUUUGUAGAAAAGUAUUUCUUAACAUGGAUAUAUGAACUCUUUGGACCCCAAUGGUCUUAUUGGAUAAAUGGUAACUCUAGAUUCGUUUGCCUGAGUCCUAGCCAUCCAAGCUGCUGAACAGACCCUGGGCACUGGAAUAUUCUCCAUGCCAGGUCGUGAAAAGGGUACGUCGGUUGUCUUCCAAGAUGAUGGGGUGCCACUUAAAGCCAAGAAACUCAAAUGAGACCCAAAGGAGAGAAAUCUGCUAAUGAGCCCAUCAAGAUAAAGAGGUGUGCCGCUCCAGUCUCUGCCUCCGUUGUCACGUGGCCAUCUUCUCCCUGUGUCUCUACACCAUCUUCUUUCUGUGCAUGUCCGCCUCUGCGUUCGAAUUACCUCUUCUUAUAAGGACACCAGUCCUGUUGGAUUAAGGCCCCACCCUAACGACUUCAUCUGAACGUGGCUACAUCUCCAAAGACCCUAUUUCCAAACAAGGUCAUGAUCACAGGUACUGUGGGUUAGGACUUCGAUAUAUCUUUUAGGGGGACACAAUUCAUCCCACAACAACAGUUAACCUCUCUAAGCUUCAGUUUUCUUAUCUUUAAAGUGAUGGAUUCCCGUAGUGUCAAAGUCAAGGAGAUACUGCAGGGGAUACAUCUGAAGGCUUAGACACGAGGCUUCACAAAUAGCCCUCAACACGUGGUCCUUAUUACAGAAGACAUCCACGUGGCGGGGAGCAGGCCAGCCGGGCCUUCUCCACUCCUGUCCUUCAAAGUGCACCUUUGCCUUGAGAUUUUUCACUAAACCCACUGAGACUGCUACAGAAAUUCUUCUGAGGCCAGGGUGACAGGAGCAGAUAAUUAGUAAAAGAUCAGGAAAGGGUAAGUGACUUCAGAGAAAAGUUGAAACAUGGUCUGACCUUUUCCAUUAUCUUGAACCAAGGCUGAUCUAAGUUCAAUUUUAUGAAUGGAGCCAACGGUUCUCUUUAUACUCAGAAUAGGUACCAUUGGAAAGAAAAGCCACCGACAACUUUGUUUCCUUCUUGUGUGAUUUGUUGGGGAGACUUACUGCUUUGGAGGCUGCCUGGGAAGCACCUUGACUCUCAGCCUGGAGACCCCCAGGAUUCCAGCACCCGAAACCCUGAACAGAGGUCUGGUUGGCCAAGACCCCCCUUGUGUGCCUAGUGCGUGGGCCCAGACUCAGUGACAUGGCCCAGCUCACAGGAAGAAGUACUGAGGGUGAAAAGCAGUCCACGUGCCUGGCCUUCCCAGCCCUAAGGAAACAUCCCAGAGCCCAGACAAUUCCUUCACAUCAGCACUCCAACGAAAGCCAUCAGAAAAAAUUCAUUUCAUUGGGGGAGCCCUUCUGGUCCCGGCUCAGCUGCCAUUGCUACAUGAUCCUUGGCCUUUGAAAUCAGUAAUAGUCAAAGCAAUAAAGACUAAUUUUAUGCUCUA